AGGCAGAGUGAACUGACUGCUCCUUUUCACUCAGCGCUCCUCCACUGUAGGUUCUGCACUGUAAGUGUUUGGAGCCUGGGUAAAACUCUUUGCCUCUCAAGAUUCCAUACUGCAGGAGAAUUUUUAAGAUAUUUGACUGUCUUGUCUGAGCCACGUAGAGUAGAGGUGUGAUGCCACUCAGGGGGCUGGGGCAGUACACGGGUGUGAAGGUUCUGCAAACCAAAAGCAGAGUGACCACCAUGGAGCUAACGUUCACCUGCAAUGUCUAAGAAGGAUUUGCCAUUGUAACUAUGGACCAAACUGAAGGAGGAAAGAAAACUCCCACCAAAUGCUGAAGCCUCCUUUCACAUCUGUGAAAAGCACACCACAUGGGCAAAGCACUUAGUCGCAGCAGCUGUGUGUCGCUGCUGUGUCUCCCACACGGGGGGGGGGGGGACAUAAACCUUACCAAGCUCUGCAAAUAUAACAUGAAAAUUAAAAAUAAAAACAGUUUUCUUAUUGCUUAUUUUUUA
rnacentral:lncRNA from 1 species